CGCUUGAAUGGAAUUCUUCGGAAGGAAGCUCAAGUGACUGAGUGGCGGACGGGUGAGUAACGCGUGGGUAACCUGCCUCAUACAGGGGGAUAACAGUUAGAAAUGACUGCUAAUACCGCAUAAGCACACGUGAUCGCAUGAUCGAGUGUGAAAAACUCCGGUGGUAUGAGAUGGACCCGCGUCUGAUUAGCUAGUUGGUGGGGUAACGGCCCACCAAGGCGACGAUCAGUAGCCGGCCUGAGAGGGUGAACGGCCACAUUGGGACUGAGACACGGCCCAAACUCCUACGGGAGGCAGCAGUGGGGAAUAUUGCACAAUGGGGGAAACCCUGAUGCAGCGACGCCGCGUGAAGGAUGAAGUAUUUCGGUAUGUAAACUUCUAUCAGCAGGGAAGAAAAUGACGGUACCUGACUAAGAAGCCCCGGCUAACUACGUGCCAGCAGCCGCGGUAAUACGUAGGGGGCAAGCGUUAUCCGGAUUUACUGGGUGUAAAGGGAGCGUAGACGGCAGUGCAAGUCUGAAGUGAAAGCCCGGGGCUCAACCCCGGGACUGCUUUGGAAACUGUGCAGCUAGAGUGUCGGAGAGGCAAGCGGAAUUCCUAGUGUAGCGGUGAAAUGCGUAGAUAUUAGGAGGAACACCAGUGGCGAA
rnacentral:rRNA from 1 species